rnacentral:lncRNA from 1 species
UUCAGUUCUGUCUGCAAGCACAGGUUAAGUUGAACCUUUCCAGUUCACCAGCUCUAAGAACAUAACCAGCUUCUAUAGUUUAGAUAGGGUCUGUUGCUGCCAAAACUCAUGUGGAAAUGUAAUUGCCAAUGUAAUAAAAUUCAGAAUGUCAUGGAAUUGUGCACUGUUAAGAGGUAUUUGAGCCCAAGGCAGUGACACACAUCUGUAAUCCCAGCUGCUUGGGAGGCUGAGGCAGGCAGCUCACAAGUUCCAGGCCAGCCUUAGCAAGGCCCUGCCUCAAAAUAAAAAGAAAAAAAAAUUAAAGGGCUGGGGAUGAAAGAGUGUUUGCCAAGCACACAUGGAGCCCUGGGUUCCAUCCCCAAUACCACCAGAAAGGAAAACAAAAAAGAGGUGUUUGGGUCAUGGGGGGGUGGUGUCCUUCCUCAUGAAGAUACUAAUGUAGUUCCUGCAGGAGUGGAUUACUUAUCAUGAGAUACGGUUGUUUUCAUAAAGCACGAAGUUCCUUUUGUCCCCAACUCUCUUAGUAUACACCUGCUUGGCCUUCCACUUCUCUCCCUGUCAAAAGCUAAGCAGAUGGAUCUCACCUUGUCAAAUGCU